UUAGCAAUGAAUUGAGGCCUAGUAGC
rnacentral:piRNA from 1 species